rnacentral:rRNA from 1 species
GUGCCAGCCGCCGCGGUAAUACGUAGGGGGCAAGCGUUGUCCGGAAUUAUUGGGCGUAAAGAGCGUGUAGGCGGAUAUUUAAGUCAGAUGUGAAAACUGGCGGCUCAACCGUGAGACUGCAUCUGAUACUGGAUAUCUUGAGGGUAAGAGAGGGCAGUGGAAUUCCUAGUGUAGCGGUGAAAUGCGUAGAUAUUAGGAGGAACACCAGUGGCGAAGGCGACUGCCUGGCUUACAACUGACGCUGAGACGCGAAAGCGUGGGGAGCAAACAGGAUUAGAAACCCGCGUAGUCC